AAAACUGGAAUGUAGUUUAAGGCCUAGCACGAUGCGAUAACAUGCUCAUCGCUAUAUAGGGCACAACGUGAUGCAAUCGUAGUGAGCUACUGGAAUCCAAAUCUAAACACAACCCAAUCCUUGUCCGAAAAAUUCAAAACUUCCCCGAGACAUGCUCCUUACACCCCUGAACAUGAAUCAACUCAAAAACCAUCAUCCUGGGG
rnacentral:lncRNA from 1 species